AUGUAUUGCUGGUUAACCAUGAAUGACAGCAACCUAUGUAUCCUCAGUUGGAAUGUUCGAGGCCUCAAUUGUCCUGCACGACGAGCGACUGUUCAUGAAACCAUUGCCUCGACCCCCUGCAACAUUGUUUGUCUGCAAGAAACCAAAAUGGCCAAUAUUGAUCAAUACACCGCAGCCUUCCUUGGAGGACACCGUCUAAAAUCUUUUGCUGAGCGCCCGGCGGACGGCACCCGGGGAGGAAUCCUCCUUCUCUGGAAUGAGGAUGUGAUCAAGAUUGAGCAGGUCAAUUUGGGGACUUUCCUCCUUUCAGCCAUGGUGACCAUUGUCGAGUCCAGUACCUCCUUCAAGCUGACCUCGGUGUAUGGACCUACAAGAAGCAAUCUGAAGGACUCCUUUUUUCAGGAAAUGAUUAGCCAGAGGCCUCCCGAUGGAGUUAAAUGGCUGGUCACUGGAGAUUUCAACCAAAUCUACCGCGCCCGCGACAAAAACAGAGCAAAUGUGGACCGAAGUCGUAUUGUUCGCUUCCGUAAUGCACUCAACUCUUGUGAGCUCAAGGAGAUCCACCUGCAAAAUAGAAAGUUUACAUGGAGCAAUGAGCAACAUAAUCCCACUAUGAGCAAGCUGGAUACUUUUUUUGCAAUGAAGAUUGGGACAUCCAUUUUGGCUCCCACAUCCUGCACGCGCUGUCGUCCUCGCUCUCCGACCAUUGCCCCCUUCUCCUUGCUAGCGAUGAGGGACCCUCGAGGCCAAAAUCCUUUAAGUUUGAAAAUUUCUGGACAAACAUGCCAAACUUCAAGAAAGUCAUUGCUGAUGCAUGGAACGAGAGGGUGA
rnacentral:rRNA from 1 species